UUGCUUUNCUAGAGACCUNCGGAUGGGUGAGUAACGCGUAUGCAACCUNCCUUUUACAGGGGAAUAGCCCGGAGAAAUUCGGAUUAAUNCUCCAUGGUUUAUAUGAAUGGCAUNGUUUNUAUAAUAAAGAUUUAUCGGUAAAAGAUGGGCAUGCGUAUCAUUAGCUAGUUGGUGUGGUAACGGCAUACCAAGGCUNCGAUGAUUAGGGGUCCUGAGAGGGAGAUCCCCCACACUGGUACUGAGACACGGACCAGUCUCCUACGGGAGGCAGCAGUGAGGAAUAUUGGUCAAUGGAGGCAACUCUGAACCAGCCAUGCCGCGUGCAGGAUGACGGUCCUAUGGAUUGUAAACUNCUUUUGUUCGGGAAGAAAUGUAAUUACGUGUAAUUAUUUGACGGUACCGUAAGAAUAAGGAUCGGCUAACUCCGUGCCAGCANCNNCGGNNAUACGGAGGAUCCGAGCGUUAUCCGGAAUUAUUGGGUUUAAAGGGUUCGUAGGCGGUUGAGUAAGUCAGUGGUGAAAUCUUAUAGCUUAACUAUAAAAUUGCCGUUGAUACUGCUUGACUUGAAUAGUAUGGAAGUAAUUAGAAUAUGUAGUGUAGCGGUGAAAUGCUUAGAUAUUACAUGGAAUACCAAUUGCGAAGGCAGAUUACUACGUACUUAUUGACGCUGAUGAACGAAAGCGUGGGUAGCGAACAGGAUUAGAUACCCUGGUAGUCCACGCCGUAAACGAUGGAUACUAGCUNUUCGGUUUUCGGACUGAGUGGCUAAGCGAAAGUGAUAAGUAUCCCACCUGGGGAGUACGUUCGCAAGAAUGAAACUCAAAGGAAUUGACGGGGNCCCGCACAAUCGGUGGAGCAUGUGGUUUAAUUCGAUGAUACGCGAGGAACCUUACCAAGGCUUAAAUGUAGAUUGNCAGGUUUAGAGAUAGACNNNUCUUCGGACAAUUUACAAGGUGCUGCAUGGUUGUCGUCAGCUCGUGCCGUGAGGUGUCAGGUUAAGUCCUAUAACGAGCGCAACCCCUAUUGUUAGUUGCCAGCGGGUCAAGCCGGGAACUCUAACAAGACUGCCGGUGCAAACCGUGAGGAAGGUGGGGAUGACGUCAAACCAUCACGGCCCUUACGUCUUGGGCUACACACGUGCUACAAUGGCCAGUACAGAAAGCAGCUACCAGGCAACUGGAUUCGAAUCUCAAAAACUNGUCUCAGUUCGGAUUGGAGUCUGCAACUNGACUCCAUGAAGCUGGAAUCGCUAGUAAUCGGAUAUCAGCCAUGAUCCGGUGAAUACG
rnacentral:rRNA from 2 species